rnacentral:rRNA from 1 species
CCUACGGGAGGCAGCAGUGGGGAAUAUUGGACAAUGGGGGGAACCCUGAUCCAGCGACGCCGCGUGAGUGAAGAAGUAUUUCGGUAUGUAAAGCUCUAUCAGCAGGGAGGAAAGCACUGACGGUACCUGACUAAGAAGCCCCGGCUACCUACGUGCCAGCAGCCGCGGUAAUACGUAGGGGGCAAGCGUUAUCCGGAUUUACUGGGUGUAAAGGGAGCGUAGACGGCGAUGCAAGUCUGAGGUGAAAGGCGGGGGCACAACCCCUGGACUGCUUUGGAAACUGUAUGGCUGGAGUGCAGGAGAGGUAAGUGGAAUUCCUAGUGUAGCGGUGAAAUGCGUAGAUAUUAGGAGGAACACCAGUGGCGAAGGCGGCUUACUGGACUGUAACUGACGUUGAGGCUCGAAAGCGUGGGGAGCAAACAGGAUUAGAUACCCCUGUAGUC